rnacentral:rRNA from 1 species
UACAGGGGUCUCGAGCGUUAAUCGGAAUCACUGGGCUUAAAGGGUGCGUAGGCGGAUCCGUAAGCGCUUUGUGAAAUCCCCCGGCUCAACCGGGGAAUUGCAGGGCGAACUGCGGAUCUUGAGGAAACUAGAGGCCGGUAGAACGAUUGGUGGAGCGGUGGAAUGCGUAGAUAUCAAUCGGAAUGCCAAAAGUGAAGACAGCCGGCUGGGGUUUUCCUGACGCUGAGGCACGAAAGCGUGGGGAGCAAACAGG